CGGAGGUGGUUGACCGCCGUGUUGACCGCCGCGUUGACCGCCGUCUGACCACCGCUUGUGGCGGCGCGUCGGACCAUAUUUUGAGUUUAUAUUAUCUGGACGAUGAUCUACGCAUCCAUACGAGCGUUUUGAUAUAUUACAAGGUUAUUUUUGAAAAAGUUGAUAAAUAGUGGAUUUACGUUUUGACGUUACUAUUUAACGUUUUUACGUUUUAUCUUCGGUUUACG
rnacentral:lncRNA from 1 species